AUUUCAAUAAUUAAGUUACAGUAUUGGGGAGGGAAGGGAUAAAAGGGGACCCUUGCAGUUGGAUAGCAUUUUGGCAUAUAUCUGUGCAUGAAUUUUGUCACUUGUUUCACCUUUCUCUGAAAACAGUAUGUUUGUGUUUAAUAGUCUAUCUCUGAGUUUAAUGAGAAAAACUCAAAAUUCCUUAAAUGAUCACUAAUGAAGGUAGUCUACACAAUGUGGGCUUGAAGCGGUGUUAGUUAGUCAGGAACUAAAAGGAGGUUGAUAGAUCACUGAGUUGCUUUGGGCUUUGCUGAAGAUACAUAAUGGAAAAUCAUGUUUUAUACAAUACUGAUGACAUUCAGGAUUUUCUUCUAGGAUUUUUACUUAAGGAAGAUUGUCAGAAACUUCGAUAUUUUGAAGACUAAAUGUUCCAAAGUUCGAGAAGAGUUUUCUAAGGUCUUAUUUGUAUCAGCAAUAAGAGGUUUAGGUGUUGAGGGAGAACGGGGAAAGAAUAAAUAAGGUUAAUGAGUCUGUGUCCCAAGCAAGACUCUUGGUAGGGCAGUCAGCUUACAUGACAGUAGCCCACAUUUUCUUAUUGCAACCUUUAUAUUGACUGUUUUAAAAAUGCUCUUAGGUUUCACUGUUGAAGAAUUCAUACUCUGUGAGAAUAUAAUAAGUUAAUUAAAUUAAAGUGUAACACUGAGUAGAUAUUUUGAUGUGUGUAAAUAGAAUUUCUAUGAAAGAUUGAAUUAUCACCUCAAUUUAAUAAUUUCUCUUUUUCUGUGCAGUAUCAAGAUUGUCUACUAUUAGUUAAUUAAAAUAACUGACCGUUUGCCUGCCAAAACAAGGCUGAUAUUCAAUAUCCAAUUUAUUUCAAAUGCCAUAUGGCAUUCUCUGGUUCCAUACUCACUCGUAAAAUCAAUAUCUUGCACUGUUUGGUUUUGUUUUGAAAGUAGUUAGGUAUUCUAUCUUUCUAUGUGAUUACCAAUAUGUUUUCACUUUUUU